UUGCUUUAUAGGUGUCGUCAGUCCAUGUCGUGAGAUGUUUGGUUCAUUCCUUCGACGAGCGCAACCCUUAUUCUUAAU
rnacentral:rRNA from 13 species